rnacentral:rRNA from 1 species
AAUCAACGCUGGCGGCGUGCCUCAGACAUGCAAGUCGAACGAUUAAGACUCUCUUCGGAGAGUGCAUAAAGUGGCGCACGGGUGAGUAACACGUAAGUAAUCUACCCUCGAGUGGGAAGUAACAACCGGAAACGGUUGCUAAUACCGCAUAAUGCAGCGGCACCGCAAGGUGACAGUUGUUAAAGAUUUAUCGCUUGGGGAGGAGCUUGCGGCAGAUUAGCAGUUGGUAAGGUAAUGGCUUACCAAGGCUACGAUCUGUAACCGGUCUAAGAGGACGGUCGGUCACACUGACACUGAA